UGAGGAAUUUUCCGCAAUGGGCGAAAGCCUGACGGAGCAAUGCCGCGUGGAGGAGGAAGGCCCGAGGGUUGUAAACUCCUUUUCUCAGAAAAGAAGAUCUGACGGUAUCUGAGGAAUAAGCAUCGGCUAACUCCGUG
rnacentral:rRNA from 1 species